AGCUCUUUGUAAAAUUUGAAUAAAUAAAGAGUUUAACCUGCCCAGUGAUAAUAAUUAAAUGGCCGCGGAAAUUUAACCGUGCGAAGGUAGCGUAAUCAUUAGCCUUUUAAAUGGAGGAUGGUAUGAAUGGUUGAACGAAAUUAAACUGUCUCUUUCUUAGGUUCUUGAAAUUAAUUUUCUUGUGAAGAAGCGGGAAUUUAACCAUAGGACGAGAAGACCCUAUCGAGCUUAAGUAAUAUUUUUGGCUGUUGUUGUAAAUAAUAAACUUUAAUAUAAGAAAUAUUGAGUUUUAAUUGUUGGCAGUGCAAGUAUUUUUAUUUUGGUUGGGGCAAUCACGAAGAAAAUAGAAUCUUUGUUAAUUAUAUAUAUAAAAUUAUGAAUUUAAUUUAGAAAUAAAAAGAUCCAUUUAGAUAAAUGAGUGAAAGAAUAAGUUACCGUAGGGAUAACAGCGUAAUUUUUUUAGAAAGGCCUUAUUGACAAAGAAGUUUGCGACCUCGAUGUUGGAUCGAGACAUCCUAAAAGUGUAGAAGCUUUUAAGGGUUGGUCUGUUCGACCAUUAAAGUCUU
rnacentral:rRNA from 1 species